rnacentral:lncRNA from 1 species
GACCUGCUCUGAGCCGCGCAGGCAGCCGAACCAUAGUAUCUCCUGGUCUCCAGGCUUGUGCAAACAGCAGGUCUGCACAAGUGGAAUUCCCGCAGAAUUCCCGGUGGAACGACUGAUCCCGGUAACGGCAGCGCGUGACACUCGAGCAGGAGCCGAGCCACAGCUGUUUCAUAGUUUCCAGCGCAGGCUUCUUGCACGGAGCUGGUGGGAGAUUCCCGAGCUAAGUGUCGCAAGGGCAGCGCGUCCUCUUGCCCGAUCAAAGUCCGGUGGUGUGCACAAGGGCCGAGUGCAGCAGAACACCGCGCGCGGUGGGAGAGGCCAAGCGUGGCGGUGCUGGGCCGGUGGCACUGUCCGUCCAGUGCGCACAGACCCGGGAACUCAGACUCCCAGCUCCUGUUCAUAGCUCAGUAACCAGUUAAUUGCAAAGCCUUUUGUAAAUCGUUCAGGCCUAAUCCUGCACAGGUAGAGGCCCCCAGCAGAGUCCUUCCAGUUUUUCACUGGGGACAUAGGAUCAGCUUCUUAAAUGCCUUUUUUUCCCCUCCCUUGCCCUCAGUCUGUAAACCUGAGAACGAAAAUCACCAUCUUCGUGCAGAAAAUGCGAUAAUUCGUAGAUGUUUGUGAAGCAGUAGCAUGGGCAUCGCUGUGCGACAUGUGUGUGACCUGGCAUCCGUAAAGGGGACUGAUUGAUUGCAGUUAUCAGCUGGCCCUUUGGAGCGUGCGAUUGCUGGCCUGUCUCAUCUGAAUACAAUUUUCUGUGAUUAUGGAGGAUAAUGCUGGAAAUGCCUCUGCACUGGCCUUGCCGCGUGUCCAGAUGGCAAGGUCAGCGUUGCGUGGACCUUGCUCAGUUGCUCUGAAUGCCAGCAUCCGUGCUGCUGUUUUCUUCUCUCUUCGCGUCCCUGGCUCAGCUAGAAAUCACGGCGUUCUAUGGCUGUCGAUAAAUUCAGAGAGCUGGAAGUGAAUGCCUACAGUGAACUCUGCUUUCACUGGUCUUAAAUUUAUUUCCCACCCUUUUGCAAAAGUGAAUGGGGACACUGGUUUUGUACGGUACUCUUGCUUUAAGAUAAUCUGAGCUGCAAUCUUAAAAUAAACCAAAGUGAGUUAAAAACCUGAGCUAGGAG